rnacentral:rRNA from 1 species
AACGAACGCUGGCGGCAUGCCUAACACAUGCAGGUCGAACGAACCCUUCGGGGUUAGUGGCGCACGGGUGCGUAACGCGUGGGAAUCUGCCCUUUGCUUCGGAAUAACAGUUAGAAAUGACUGCUAAUACCGGAUGAUGUCUUCGGACCAAAGAUUUAUCGGCAAAGGAUGAGCCCGCGUAGGAUUAGGUAGUUGGUGGGGUAAAGGCCUACCAAGCCGACGAUCCUUAGCUGGUCUGAGAGGAUGAUCAGCCACACUGGGACUGAGACACGGCCCAGACUCCUACGGGAGGCAGCAGUGGGGAAUAUUGGACAAUGGACGCAAGUCUGAUCCAACAAUGCCGCGUGAGUGAUGAAGGCCUUAGGGUUGUAAAGCUCUUUUACCAGGGAUGAUAAUGACAGUACCUGGAGAAUAAGCUCCGGCUAACUCCGUGCCAGCAGCCGCCGCGGUAA